UUCCUCAUCCAAUGAGCCGGAAAAACCCACCUCUAUUACACCGGAUAAUGAUAAAGCUGACGAUAAAAUGGUCGAGUUCGUGGAUGAAUGGGGAGAGAAGUCGGAGCCCGAACCCGGACCGGUUACGAAGUUAGCGGAUUCGGAUCCUCCGGAGUAUGAUGAUGAGUGGGGUAAUGGAAGUCCCGGAGUUGACGUGAGUGGUGAAGAGGACGAGAAGCUUCUAGAGCUGAAAAGGUGUUUGGUGGAUACAGUUUAUGGGACGGAUUUCGGAUUUCGGGCUUCAUCAGAGAUUCGGGCCGAGGCAUUGGAGUUCGUUUGUCAGUUGGAGGCAGCCAAUCCUUCUCCAGCACCAACUGAGUCUCCUGAGUUGCUUGAUGGGAACUGGAUUUUAGUGUGAGUUUUUUUGCUUCAUUGCUGGAUCAUUCAGUCACUUCUUUUACUAUAGUUCCUCCAUUUAUUACGUUUUGUGUUGUUUUUAUAUGAAACUAGCUGAGUUUUGAUAUCUUCUGCAAGCGUGCUGGCUUUGGUUCGGAAAAAAUGGGUGGUUUACACUUUACAGGACAAACCAAAUAACAAUCUCUAAUAAAUUGAUAUUGAUCUCACGGGGCUUAUAUUUAAGGUUAAUGGGUAGUUUCAGAUAAUCAAAUGACUUUGAUUUCAUUAUCUAUGGGUUAAGGCAUUGAUAGAAUGGGUACUGGUAUGCUUAUCUUGAGCAUUGACACCACAGAACAAGUUGCUCUCCCUAAUUCUAGGUGCAUGAUAGAAGUUAAUCGUACAAUGUAGGCAUUGCACCCAAAGCAGUAGCUAGAACUUUAUGAUGGGAGUUCACUAUGCAAGAUAGGUGCAUCAUAACAGUUAUAAGAGGGAUCUCGAGAUUGGCCUCUAAAUAAGCACCUUAUGAGUUGAGCGGUCAGACGGUUACUUGUCAAUAUACUUGCAUUCGGCUGUAUCCUCCAGUUGUUAACAACCAUAAUUAAAGACCAUGUAUCUUUGUUUGUCCUGUAAUAACAUGCUUUGGAUUUCCGAGAAUUUCAUAAACUAAUUAGCCUGGUAAUCUGGGAAUAGGACGAACCAAUGCUUCUUGGAUUAUUUUAAUCUUGAUGCCAUGUAUUUUCAACUAAGUAUUGCACUUUCUUCACAUCGCAACUACCAUUAAUCUAAUCUAAACAAUUGUCUGCAAACUUUAAUGUGAAAUGUAUUUUGUUUUUCCUUCAUACCCUUUUGGCUAGUCAAACUAGAAUCUAUUCAAGAGUGCAACAAGAAAAUUGUUGUAGUUACUGGAGCUUGAGCUCAUGAUUCAUAUUCAUUCUAUGGUUCACAUAUCACAGAAGAAAACCUGAAGGCUGAAGAUUGUUGUUGUUAUUAUUAUGUCUUUGGUUUUACUGGGAAAGUCGAGUUUUAGUAAGUACUGUAAUUUUAAAUGCUUGGAAGUGGUGAUAGACUGUUUUUAAUAGUUCUGAAGUACAAUUUUAUAGGAUUAAAUCUAUGAACUUAAAAUCGAUGACAUUUACUAUCUUGGUUCACAUAUCACAUAAAAAACCCUGAAGGCUUAAGAUAUGCCUUGUAAAGCUAUAUUUAUAGUUGAUAUCCUGUUCAGGGUUUAUUCGUCUAUAACAUAGAGUAGGAAAAUGUCAUUGAGGCAUAAAUGUUGAUGAUACUUGCUGUGUGCUAUGCAUUAUUAAAAGUUUAUUUCUUCAUAAGUUUAUUUUUAAAGAUUUUUGGUUGAACACAUCGACAACACCUUAAAAUAUGUUAUCUCCUUCAAUUAUACACAAUAGUCUUAAUAAGCCGUCAGGCCUAUUCGAUGUCGAUGUAUAUGAAUAAAGGGAUGAUUUGUAACUUAGCCCAAUCUUAAGGGACAAUUUUGGGCUUUUCCUCCUGAACAUUGUAACUUUAGUUGUGAAAUUUCAUGCAGAAACUGAUUUGAAGUAAAUGAUAAGUGAUGUAUCAGCAAAGAAUCUUAUUUUUCUUCCUCAAUCUGUCAGGUUCACUGCAUUUUCCGAGUUGUUACCUCUUCUUGCUGUGGGUAACAUUCCUCUGUUGAAGGUAGAAAAGAUUAGCCAAGACGUAAAUACAAACAGCUCGACUAUAGAGAAUGCGACUACAUUAUCAAGCCCUGUAGCCACCUUGUCCUUUAGUGCUACUGCCACUUUUGAAGUUCGAAGCCCCUCUAGAAUACAGGUAUACUCGUUGACUCCAUUCUGAUUUCCUUAGAAAGGUACUUGCAGCAAUUUUCUGCACAAAGAGAGAAAAUGAGAAUUUUGGAUCUAAUUAUGCAAGAUAUUGAGAAAUUGUAGGGGUCGAUUAUGUUUUUUUGGUUAACUUCUGUAGAGUAUGUUGGGAGUUUUUUAAUUUUUCCUUCCGCAUUUGGCUGACAACUGCUUACUUUUGCAGGUUGAAUUCAAGGAAGGGAAUUUUAAACCUCCAGAAAUAAAAUCGAACAUAAAUCUGCCGGAAACUGUGGAUUUGUUUGGGCAAAAGAUAAGUCUCUCUCCUGUACAGCAAUCUCUAGGUCCUCUGGAAAACGCUGUGGCAGGCAUAGCACGAACU
rnacentral:lncRNA from 1 species